UCCCUGGUAGCUCAGCUGGUAAAGAAUCUGCCUAUAGUGCAGGAGACCCUGGUUCGAUUCCUGGGUUGGGAA
rnacentral:tRNA from 1 species